CCUAAAUGUCUCCUAAGCAAAGACUUUUCACCCUAUAGUAAUCAAGAGUUGGCUUUAAUCUCUUCCCCCUUUUUUUGUCCUUUAUGCCUUUAAUCUCCCAGUGUAUUCCUUUACUUCCAGGCUCCCAGGUGCCUUCUGUGGUUAUGGGGCUUUGCAGUGAGGUGACUUCUACAUGCCCUGCUUUUCUUUAGGUAGCUGAGUACUGUGUAACCAAAAACCUUAGAAGGGGAAAACCCAAAGAAAUAAAACUUUGCUUUCUUGGAAGGACCCCUAUUAUCCCUUUCCAAAUUUCUAAAAGAAUACAAAUCAUGUAAGCCUACAGUAAAUGACCCAGUAAUGGAGAGAUGGGUGGAGGUUAUGUGACUCGUAAGGGAGCUAACUAAACAGUUCAAAGAAAACCACCCCUAAAAUAGAUAGGGGAUGAUUCCCCCUUUAAGUAAACAUUGAGGAGAAAGGAUUUUGUUAAAUGGCACAAAAGAAUUCUAUCCCUAAAGUCUUAGCCAUAAAACUAAAGAUCUCUGCUGUAUAGAAUUUUAGAAAAAGUCCUAGGAAUUACUUACUCAGAAGCUACAAAGCUGUUAAAGAAACUCCUAUUAAGCUCUGGUUGGGGUGGGGGAGGCUCUUUUUGGGGACAUAGACAAAAAAUUAUCUUUCCAAAACACUCCUACAUGAAGUUAUAAAACCCUGGGAGUCUGGACUUGACUGUAGAGGGAGCAUUAAAUUAUAUGGAAAAGAGCCCCCUUCUAUAUUUAAAACCAUAAUGAUAAGUCCAGACAGCCUGGAGUGGGAGAGCCCUAUAAUGUUGAAAUGGGGUGUGCCCUAUAGAAUAAUUGUAAGGAUAAGCUAUUACACAUUUACAUCCCUUCCCGAGAAGAAAAAAAUUGUAUACCUUUCUAAGUAAGGUAAGAGAAAAGACUUCCCCUUUGCACUUGCAUGGGAUGAUAAAUUGUACAAAACAGAAGGGAAGUGCUCAAGUCUAGAAGGAAAAAUAAAUCCUUUAAACCAGUAGAAGCAAAAAUGCCCUAUAAAUUGUAGAGAUAAAACCUUUGUAAAGCUAGGUAAAAAGUUAUCCCCACCCCUUUAGUAAUCAGGAAUGGCAAGCCCUAAGGAGCUAUAUAAGGGGAAACCCUAUUAAAUAGUCCAGGGAAAGUCCUGUAGGGGAGAGCAGUAGCUGAGGGUAGUUCUCAGAAACCAGUCCUGUAAGGGCUGUACAGUAGGCUGUGUAGAGGAGAUAGGGUGUAGACUAUUAGGAUGAUCGCAUGUUAUAGGGUUGGGGGGGAGGGAUUGGGGUCUUCUCUCUAAUACAGAGUUUAGGGUGGGAGCCUGAUCUGGUUGGGAUUUGGAGUUUUCAAGGCAGAAAGGGGAAAGAGGUCAGAGAACCUUUUGGAUCCAAUCCUAUCAAUUCCUUUCUCUCCCCUAAACUUUACUCAGUCCUAUCCAUGGACCUCCAAUCCCAGGGCUGGUGACUUUCACUGUUCUGUUCAGCUUUGUGUGCUCCCUGCUGCCCCAUGCAGCUCCAUGACUUGGAUGGGCAGUCACACCAUGUCAGCGUCAUCUCUGUUGGCUUUGCCCCAGCCUUGAAUUAGGAAUACCAACUUUUCUGUUUUCCACCCCAGAGCUAGCUACAUUUAAAAGGUGGGUCAAAUAAGUGAGCUUCAGGAGAGACCAUCCUUUACCUGAUGCAUUUUGCUAGCUCCUUGUCCUCCCUCAUUCUAGAACUGCAUUAACUGAUCCCCAGUAAAACAAAAUGUCACCAGCAGAGGCCAGGGUGAGGAGGGAGCCAAGGCAAUUCAGUAAGCUGGAGACAUGAGUAAGGAGAUGCUGGAAACUGGCUUGGAAGAAGUGGGAUUAGAGGUCUUAAGGAGAUCAACUAAGAUUUCAGAGCUAUGACUUUUGAAAUUAGAUGGAAAUUUGCUAGCACUGGGGAUGCUGAAUGAUGGAGAGACCUGAAACCAUCAGAGCAGUGAGGUGCAAAGUCCUUUUAGCCAUUGUGUGAGGUGUGGUGAAUAGACACCGGACUCCAUGGCCCAGGUUAUUUCCCUCACUGCCCCUAGGUUCCUCCUUUUCCAGACCAGUGGGCUGGGAGGGGUCCCCCCCUUUGAAUGUUGUGUGUCAGAAACAGUGUUGUGUCGCUGGUGGUUGUGUGGAG
ensembl:lncRNA